CACGUAGGGCGCAAGCGUUGUCCGGAAUUAUUGGGCGUAAAGAGCUCGUAGGCGGUCUGUUACGUCUGCUGUGAAAACCCUGGGCUUAACCCUGGGCUUGCAGUGGAUACGGGCAGACUAGAGGCAGGUAGGGGAAAAUGGAAUUCCCGGUGUAGCGGUGAAAUGCGCAGAUAUCGGGAGGAACACCGGUGGCGAAGGCGGUUCUCUGGGCCUGACCUGACGCUGAGGAGCGAAAGCGUGGGGAGCGAACAGG
rnacentral:rRNA from 1 species